rnacentral:rRNA from 1 species
UACGUAGGGGCCGAGCGUUGUCCGGAGUUAUUGGGCGUAAAGCGCGCGCAGGCGGCUUCGCCGCGCCCGACGUGAAAGCCCCCCGGCUUAACCGGGGAGAGUCGUUGGGGACGGCGGAGCUUGAGGGCGGGAGAGGUCGGUGGAAUUCCCGGUGUAGUGGUGAAAUGCGUAGAGAUCGGGAGGAACACCAGUGGCGAAGG